rnacentral:rRNA from 1 species
CCAUGGAGUAAUCCAGUAAGACCCCUUAGAGAUGAUGAGGUUGAUAGGUCUGGUGUGGAAGCGUGGCGACACGUGGAGCUGACAGAUACUAAUCGGUCGAGGACUUAUCCAA